rnacentral:rRNA from 1 species
GUAAGGAAUAUUGCUCAAUGGGAGAAAUCCUGAAGCAGCAACGCCGCGUGGAGGAUGAAGGGUCUAUGACUUGUAAACUCCUGUAAAGAAGGAAAAAAUUCCCAUUUGAUGGGAGAUGACGGUACUUCUGGAGUAAGCCCCGGCUAACUACGUGCCAGCAGCCGCGGUAAUACGUAGGGGGCAAGCGUUGUCCGGAUUUACUGGGUGUAAAGGGUGCUCAGGCGGAUUUGUAAGUCAGAGGUGAAAUCUUACAGCUUAACUGUGAAACUGCCUUUGAUACUGCAAGCCUAGAGUAUGGAAGAGAGUGAUGGAAUAUCUGGUGUAGCAGUGAAAUGCGUAGAUAUCAGAUAGAACACCAAUGGCGAAGGCAGUCACUUGGUCCAUUACUGACGCUAAAGCACGAAAGCGUGGGUAGCAAACA